rnacentral:rRNA from 1 species
CAGCCGCCGCGGUAAUACGAAGGGGGCUAGCGUUGUUCGGAUUUACUGGGCGUAAAGGGCGCGUAGGCGGGCGAAUAAGUCAGGGGUGAAAUCCCAAGGCUCAACCUUGGAACUGCCUUUGAUACUGUUUGUCUUGAGUUCGAGAGAGGUAAGUGGAACUGCGAGUGUAGAGGUGAAAUUCGUAGAUAUUCGCAAGAACACCAGUGGCGAUGGCGGCUUACUGGCUCGAAACUGACGCUGAGGCGCGAAAGCGUGGGGAGCAAACAGGAUUAGAUACCCCAGUAGUCCCUGUCUCUUAUAC